rnacentral:rRNA from 1 species
UACGUAGGCAGCGAGCGUUGUUCGGAAUUAUUGGGCGUAAAGAGCGUGUAGGCGGCCUUACAGGUCAGCUGUGAAAACUCGAGGCUCAACCUCGAGACGUCGGUUGAAACCGUAAGGCUAGAGUCCGGAAGAGGAGAGUGGAAUUCCACGUGUAGCAGUGAAAUGCGUAGAGAUGUGGAGGAAUACCGAUGGCGAAGGCAGCCCCCUGGGAUAACACUGACGCUCAUGCACGAAAGCGUGGGGAGCAAACAGG